rnacentral:rRNA from 1 species
GCUUAGCCCUAAACACAGAUAAUUACAUAAACAAAUUAUUUGCCAGAGUACUACCAGCAACAGCUUAAACUCAAAGGACUUGGCGG